rnacentral:rRNA from 1 species
UGGGGAAUUUUGGACAAUGGGCGAAAGCCUGAUCCAGCAAUGCCGCGUGUGUGAAGAAGGCCUUCGGGUUGUAAAGCACUUUUGUCCGGAAAGAAAUCCUUGGCUCUAAUACAGUCGGGGGAUGACGGUACCGGAAGAAUAAGCACCGGCUAACUACGUGCCAGCAGCCGCGGUAAUACGUAGGGUGCAAGCGUUAAUCGGAAUUACUGGGCGUAAAGCGUGCGCAGGCGGUUUGCUAAGACCGAUGUGAAAUCCCCGGGCUCAACCUGGGAACUGCAUUGGUGACUGGCAGGCUAGAGUAUGGCAGAGGGGGGUAGAAUUCCACGUGUAGCAGUGAAAUGCGUAGAGAUGUGGAGGAAUACCGAUGGCGAAGGCAGCCCCCUGGGCCAAUACUGACGCUCAUGCACGAAAGCGUGGGGAGCAAACAGGAUUAGAUACCCUGGUAGUCCACGCCCUAAAACGAUGUCAACUAGUUGUGGGGAUUCAUUUCCUUAGUAACGUAGCUAACGCGUGAAGUUGACCGCCUGGGGAGUACGGUCGCAAGAUUAAAACUCAAAGGAAUUGACGGGGUCAUAGCUGUUUCCU